rnacentral:rRNA from 1 species
GGCGGAGCGAAUCUCAAAAAGCCGGUCUCAGUUCGGAUUGGGGUCUGCAACUCGACCCCAUGAAGUCGGAGUUGCUAGUAAUCGCAGAUCAGCAUUGCUGCGGUGAAUACUUUCCCGGGCCUUGUACACACCGCCCGUCACGUCACGAAAGUCGGUAACACCCGAAGCCGGUGGCCCAACCCCUUGUGGGAGGGAGCUGUCGAAGGUGGGACUGGCGAUUGGGACGAAGUCGUAACAAGGUAGCCGUACCGGAAGGUGCGGUUGG